UACGUAGGGUGCAAGCGUUGUCCGGAAUUAUUGGGCGUAAAGAGCUCGUAGGCGGUCUGUUGCGUCGGCUGUGAAAACCCGGGGCUCAACUCCGGGCCUGCAGCCGAUACGGGCAGACUAGAGUUCGGCAGGGGAGACUGGAAUUCCUGGUGUAGCGGUGAAAUGCGCAGAUAUCAGGAGGAACACCGGUGGCGAAGGCGGGUCUCUGGGCCGAUACUGACGCUGAGGAGCGAAAGCGUGGGGAGCGAACAG
rnacentral:rRNA from 1 species